rnacentral:tRNA from 1 species
GCCCUAGUAGCUUAAGUUUAAAGCACUGGUCUUGUAAGCCGAAAAUGAAAUGCACCCUCCUAGGACA